CAAAAUGUAGCUAAAUAGAAAAGCAUCUCUCUUACGCCGAGAAGUCGUCCGUGCAAAUCGAACCAUUUUGA
rnacentral:tRNA from 1 species